GAGUCACGCGACCGUUGGCAGUGAAGUGCAAAUUCAAAAUCAGUGAUAUUUAUAAAGAAACAUCAAACUUUAACGAAGAACUGUGCUUUAAUCAAGCACGAACCUGUUAGAAAAUGCGAAGGUGGACAUGUUCUGGCUUCCCGCCGUCGUCUUUUUCCCGCCCCUCGUCCUGGCUCUCUGCAAAUACCCGACGAUGCAGCACGUGGAGGUGGACGAGGCGAGCAUGAACGUGAGCUGGCGGGCGAGCGGGGAGCCGGGCUGCCUGAAGGGCUUCCAGGUGUGCCGCACCUCCAUGGAC